rnacentral:rRNA from 1 species
GACGAACGCUGGCGGCGUGCUUAACACAUGCAAGUCGAACGGACAGGCCCCUUUGGGGGUGCUCGAGUGUCGAACAGGGGAGUAACACGUGAGUAACCUGCCCUUUUCUUCCGGAUAACUUCAUUAAACUGGGGCUAAUACCCGAUAGGCGUCCUUGCUCCACGGGGGGGGUUGGUAAGCUUCGUCGUUUUUGGAUGGACUCCCGGCUUAUCAGCUUGUUGGUGGGGUAGUGGCUUACCAACGCUUUGACGGGUAGCCGGCCGGAGGGGGCGACCGGCCACAUUGGGACUGAGAGACGGCCCAGACUCCUACGGGGGGCAGCAGGGGGGAAGAUUGCACAAUGGGCGGCAGCCUGAUGCAAGAAAGCCGCGGGCGGGAUGACGGCCUUCGGGUUGUAAACCGCUUUCAGCAGGGGCGAAGCUUGUGGUGACGGUACCUGCAGAAGAAGCACCGGCUAACUACGUG